CUUGAAAUUAAAGUUGGAGACUAACUACCAUGCAGCCUAGAGCAUUUUAAUGCACAAAGUUAAUGAAUAAAAAACAACCCCAAAAUGAAACUGCAGUAACUGGAAUUAAUAUUAUAAUAGUGGUAAACUGUACACUAAACUAACAGUACAAAUUAUAGUAAAUAAAAUUAAAAAGUAAAAUUGCAUGCAAGCAAACAUUAUCUAGUUUGAAACAACUAAAACACAAAAUCACACUGUGGUUCACAUGAUUUUCAGUAAUGUUGCAAACAUAAACGUCAUAGUCGAUUUAAGACAAUGGAUUUUUGCAGGAAAUCCGACCAGUUCUUCACAAAGAAAACAGGCCUAUACAGACUGAGAAGGUGCGUUGCUGACUUAACCGGUUACAGCUCAAAGUGGCGUCUGUCUUAUAAUAUGUUGAAAACGUCUUAAAAGGUGUUGAAUUUUACUUCAGGAUACUUGUGUAUAUACCCUGUAUAUGUACUUUUAUUAAUCCUCUAUAUGUCAUUACCUUAUGUUCUUUGCUCAUCUUAUGUGAUGUUAUGAUUUCCACUUAGUGUACCAGUGUUUUGAUAUAAUGACCUUCUGUGAGAUUGUUUUGUGUCAUGCUUUCCUGUGAGAAAGGAGUUUCCACUGUGGCUCAAGGCUGAGAAAGGCUUUUCUUUUAGACUCCACAAUUAUUCUCUAGCAUUAAAUGUCUUCUCUGUUUCUCUGGGUCAGACUCUCUAACAGCCCUCUGGUGUAUGAGCUCUGCCCUUCAGCUGAAUCACCCUGUUAUUCUUACUUUAAUAAAUAUCACAAAGACA